rnacentral:rRNA from 1 species
GCGGCAAAAGCUCAGAUUUGAAAUCGCCUUUCGGGGCGAGUUGUAGAUUGCAGGUGGGAGAGUUUGUGGAGGCGCGUGCCGAAGUCCCUUGGAACAGGGCGCCAUUGAGGGUGAGAGCCCCGUGCGACGCGUGCCGAAGCUUUAACUCCCCUCUGACGAGUCGAGUUGUUUGGGAAUGCAGCUCUAAGUGGGUGGUAAAUUCCAUCUAAGGCUAAAUACUGGCGAGAGACCGAUAGCGAACAAGUACUGUGAAGGAAAGAUGAAAAGCACUUUGAAAAGAGAGUGAAACAGCACGUGAAAUUGUUGAAAGGGAAGGGUAUUGGGCUCGACAUGGGAAUUGCGCACCGCUGCUCCUUGUGGGCGGCGCUCUGGGCUUUUCCUGGGCCAGCAUCGGUUUUCGCCGCAGGAGAAGGGGCUGUGGAAUGUAGCUGCUUGCAGUGUUAUAGCCACUGGCCAGAUGCUGCGUGUGGGGACCGAGGGCUGCGACAUCUGUCUCGGAUGCUGGCACAACGGCGCAAUACCG